rnacentral:rRNA from 1 species
GACGAACGCUGGCGGCGUGCCUAAUACAUGCAAGUCGAACGCAGUGGGGACGGGAGAGUAACACGUGGGUAACAUCCCAGCAGAGGGGAUAACACUUGGAAACAGGUGCAAAACCGAUCAUGAUGGAGGGACCCGCGGUGCAUGAGCCAGUGGGUGAGGUAAAGUCUCACCAAGGCAACGAUGCAUAGCCGAGCUGCGAGUGUGAUCGGCCACACUGGGACUGAGACAAGGCCCAGACUCCUAGGGGAGUCAGCAGUAGGGAAUGUUCGGCAAGGGACGCAAGUCUGACCGAGCAACUCCGCGUGAGUGAAGAAGGUUGUCGGAUCGUAAAACUCUGUUGUCAGAGAAGCGGUAUCUAACCAGUAAGCCACGGCUAACUACGUGCCAGCAGCCGCGGUAAUAC